rnacentral:rRNA from 1 species
UACGUAGGGGCCGAGCGUUGUCCGGAGUUAUUGGGCGUAAAGCGCGCGCAGGCGGCCUCGCGCGCCCGACGUGAAAGCCCCCGGCUCAACCGGGGAGGGUCGUUGGGGACGGCGGGGCUUGAGGGCGGGAGAGGGCGGUGGAAUUCCCGGUGUAGUGGUGAAAUGCGUAGAGAUCGGGAGGAACACCUGUGGCGAAGGCGGCCGUCUGGGCCGACCCUGACGCUGAGGCGCGAAGGCGUGGGGAGCGAACGGG